GUGUCAGCAGCCGCGGUAAUACGAAGGGUGCAAGCGUUACUCGGAAUUACUGGGCGUAAAGCGUGCGUAGGUGGUUCGUUAAGUCUGUCGUGAAAGCCCCGGGCUCAACCUGGGAAUGGCGAUGGAUACUGGCGGGCUAGAGUGCGGUAGAGGAGAGUGGAAUUCCCGGUGUAGCAGUGAAAUGCGUAGAGAUCGGGAGGAACAUCAGUUGCGAAGGCGGCUCUCUGGACCAGCACUGACACUGAGGCACGAAAGCGUGGGGAGCAAACAGGAUUAGAUACCCUGGUAGUCCACGCCCUAAACGAUGCGAACUGGACGUUGGGAGCAAUCAGGCUCUCAGUGUCGAAGCUAACGCGUUAAGUUCGCCGCCUGGGGAGUACGGUCGCAAGACUGAA
rnacentral:rRNA from 1 species